rnacentral:rRNA from 1 species
AGAGACAGCAGUAGCCGCGGGAAUACGUAGGGUGCAAGCGUUAAUCGGAAUUACUGGGCGUAAAGCGUGCGCAGGCGGUUUGUUAAGACAGAUGUGAAAUCCCCGGGCUCAACCUGGGAACUGCAUUUGUGACUGGCAGGCUAGAGUAUGGCAGAGGGGGGUGGAAUUCCGCGUGUAGCAGUGAAAUGCGUAGAUAUGCGGAGGAACACCGAUGGCGAAGGCAGCCCCCUGGGCCAAUACUGACGCUCACGCACGAAAGCGCGGGGAGCAAACAGGAUUAGAUACCCGCGUAGUCCCUGUCUCUUAUAA